rnacentral:rRNA from 1 species
GACGAACGCUGGCGGCGUGCUUAACACAUGCAAGUCGAACGGAAAGGCCCUGCUUUUGUGGGGUGCUCGAGUGGCGAACGGGUGAGUAACACGUGAGUAACCUGCCCUUGACUUUGGGAUAACUUCAGGAAACUGGGGCUAAUACCGGAUAGGAGCUCCUGCUGCAUGGUGGGGGUUGGAAAGUUUCGGCGGUUGGGGAUGGACUCGCGGCUUAUCAGCUUGUUGGUGGGGUAGUGGCUUACCAAGGCUUUGACGGGUAGCCGGCCUGAGAGGGUGGCCGGCCACAUUGGGACUGAGAUACGGCCCAGACUCCUACGGGAGGCAGCAGUGGGGAAUAUUGCACAAUGGGCGGAAGCCUGAUGCAGCAACGCCGCGUGCGGGAUGACGGCCUUCGGGUUGUAAACCGCUUUCGCCUGUGACGAAGCGUGAGUGACGGUAAUGGGUAAAGAAGCACCGACUAACUACGUG